GAUGAACGCUGGCGGCGUGCCUAAUACAUGCAAGUCGAGCGAACAGAUAAGGAGCUUGCUCCUUUGAAGUUAGCGGCGGACGGGUGAGUAACACGUGGGUAACCUACCUAUAAGACUGGGAUAACUUCGGGAAACCGGAGCUAAUACCGGAUAACAUUUAGAACCGCAUGGUUCUAAAGUGAAAGAUGGUUUUGCUAUCACUUAUAGAUGGACCCGCGCCGUAUUAGCUAGUUGGUAAGGUAACGGCUUACCAAGGCGACGAUACGUAGCCGACCUGAGAGGGUGAUCGGCCACACUGGAACUGAGACACGGUCCAGACUCCUACGGGAGGCAGCAGGAGGGAAUCUUCCGCAAUGGGCGAAAGCCUGACGGAGCAACGCCGCGUGAGUGAUGAAGGGUUUCGGCUCGUAAAACUCUGUUAUUAGGGAAGAACAAAUGUGUAAGUAACUGUGCACAUCUUGACGGUACCUAAUCAGAAAGCCACGGCUAACUACGU
rnacentral:rRNA from 1 species